rnacentral:rRNA from 1 species
UACAGAGGGUGCGAGCGUUGUUCGGAAUUAUUGGGCGUAAAGGGCGCGUAGGCGGUGCGGUAAGUCACCUGUGAAAUCUCCUGGCUCAACUGGGAGCUUGCAGGCGAAACUGCCGUGCUGGAGUGUGGGAGAGGUGCGUGGAAUUCCUGGUGUAGCGAUGAAAUGCGUAGAUAUCAGGAGGAACACCUGUGGCGAAAGCGGCGCACUGGACCACAACUGACGCUGAGGCGCGAAAGCUAGGGGAGCAAACAGG